rfam:Leuconostoc lactis strain WIKIM21 contig00025, whole genome shotgun sequence.
GGUUUUAUAGCUCAAACGGUAGAGCGCUGGAGUGAAGUCCCAGAGAAUGCGGUUCGAUACCGUGUGGAACCA